AUUUGCAUAUGUGAUGAUGUAAGACCCCCUUUCGGGGGCCCCUACUCUAGUCUCGGGAGAGAGAGCACACCCAAAGAAACACGAGAAUCC
rnacentral:pre_miRNA from 7 species